GACGAACGCUGGCGGCGUGCUUAACACAUGCAAGUCGAACGAUGAAGCCGGAGCUUGCUCCGGUGGAUUAGUGGCGAACGGGUGAGUAACACGUGAGCAAUCUGCCCUUGAAUCUGGGAUAACUGCGGGAAACUGUAGCUAAUACCGGAUACGACACCUUGGGGCAUCCCAGGGGGUGGAAAGAAUUUCGGUCAAGGAUGAGCUCGCGGCCUAUCAGCUAGUUGGUGAGGUAAUGGCUCACCAAGGCGACGACGGGUAGCCGGCCUGAGAGGGUGUACGGCCACACUGGAUCUGAGACACGGUCCAGACUCCUACGGGAGGCAGGGGUGGGGAAUAUUGCACAAUGGGCGAAAGGCUGAUGCAGCAACGCCGAGUGAGGGAUGAAGGCCUUCGGGUUGUAAGCCUCUUUUAGCAGGGAAGAAGCGAAAGUGACGGUACCUGCAGAAAAAGCACCGGCUAACUACGUGCCAGCCGCCGCGGUAA
rnacentral:rRNA from 1 species